GCAAUGAUAAACUGAAGUUCUUUGGAAUGUGGAUACAUUUGGGGAUUGAUGGAUUUUCCAGGAAGGUUCUAUGGCUAAAGGUGGGCACAUCCAACCGCAAACAAAACUUUGUGGCCAGAUACUUCUUUGAGGCUGUUCAAGAACAGGGUGGUAUGCAAUAUACUUAAAAAAGGGGGUUAAAAAAAGAUUACAUUUUGGUUAUAAAUUUAUUUUUUCAUCAUUCACUAAUUAUCUUCAGUUUGUGUCUUUAGGCUGUCCUCAAAUGAUUCGGGGGACAGAGGAAAGGAGAACCUUGUUGUUGGAGAGAGCUGAAUGUUUUAACAGUAUUUUAAAGCGGACAUGGAUUAAGAAAUGGCUGACAACAUUUGAGGCCAUGAUGGAGUCUGGGAUCCUUGAACUGGACAAUCCUGUGCACAUCAACUGCUUGCAGUACUCACACUUGCCACUGCUUCAAAGAGACUUAAAAACGGAGCAAACAGUUUGGAACACCCAUGACAUCCGCAAGCAACGCAAUGCACCAGGUCCAUUUGGGAAACCCGACCUUCUGUUUACCUCACCACCUCCUGGAUAUGGCAAUGUGCUGCACAUAGUUGACCAGACCUUUUAGACUACGCCAAGCAAUUAAUCUGUGAGGUGGAAGAGCCUUCACUGGUAGCAAACCAGGAAUUCAGAGACAUGUGCCAGAACAUUUUAGAAAACAGCCAAUUUCCCUGCACACCUGAUGGUUGCCUUGCUGCAUACCUCAUGCUAGUCCAAGAGCUGACAACUGCCAUGAACAGAAAUGCAGUUCCUACACCUUCUACGUUUGCAGAGGCAAAUGACAUAUACAUCUUUCUGAAGAGACAGAGGAUGGAAGGUGCACCAGUAAACAUUUCCAAUGACCAAUAAAAUCAUACAACAUUGUUUGUUAACAUUUAUUUAUCCUUGUUUACAAUCAACAGGUAAUUUGAAAACUGUCUGACCAACAAAAUGUACAAUAAAAUGUUGAAAAACAAUUGACAAGGUGCCAUCUUUCAUAAUGAUUCAGUGUUUCAUUUAACACAACUUUUGUUAACCCUAAUGUAUAACAUAAUUAACAUUGAAAGACUUUUGAACUGCAGACUGUAGCAACAUUACCACUUGUAGCCAUAUCGGCUUGUAAGAUCAAGGCCUGACUUGAGAAACUUAACAACAUCAGAUGCGGAAGGCCUUGAGUCUGGGUCAUAGCUCACCAAACCACCAAGAAAACUGUGUUUGUCACUGAGAUGUGAUAGGGCAUGUGGUGGGUUUUGGUGGCCAUUAGUGCAGCCAGUUCUCUUUGUUUUUUAACAGUCCACGGAGCGGACCCGUCAGGAUCUCCAGAUAUGUGGCUCCGAGGGACCACAUGUCUGUCUGGAACGAGGCCUCUUCAAACAUCAGUAUGCAUUCAGGAGCCAUGUAAAGAUAUGUGCCACCAGCUGGACCAAUAACCUGGGCAGUGAACUUACUCCCUUGACGAAGCAUCACAGUGUCUCUUAUGUUUGCCAUGCCCCAGUCUGUCAGGACUGCCUUCUUAGAAGGGUGGUGAACCUAUAAGGUAUACACACGAGAACUUAUCAGGUUGUCUUAAAUCUCACAAAUGUUAUCAAAACUGUCAUUCCAAAGACCACAGCUCAUAAUUGAAAAAAAAAAACCCCUCAAAGCUUUUAGCACCCAGAUCACCCAACCACUGCAGAUUUAUUCUGAGAUUGUUUAUUAUACCUAACAUUGAAAUUAACAGAUUGGAUAAUGAUCAAACACGGUUUUAUAGUCCUGUUCUUUUUUUUUAUCCCCAUUCCACUUAAGAAAGUGGUACAGACUAAUAGAACAAUAGAAAAAUUCAGUUUGUAAAGCCUAAACUUAUUACAACAUGUUUGGGAAUUUUGUAGGUGUGCAACAACCAACAUAUUAAAGAAACAAUGUAAGGCUUCCUACUUAAAAAAAAGUCCUUUAUAUGAAUAUACCAGAACAGUUCCUCGUUGAAAUGUAGUGUUUAAUAGACUGAAGAGAAUAAAGUUCAAUAAAGAAAAAUUCAGUAUGGCUUAUGUAGAAAUGUUUAGCUUAUUUUAGAGCUUAGACAUGUAGGAAUGUUUAGUUUUUUAGAGUUUAGAAAUAUGUUAACUUAGAAUGUAGAAUUAUUGUAAAGACACUGACACUGCCCUCAAUGUAAUAAAGGCCUGAUUGUGUCAUGAACUUAGAAGUAGAUUUUAUGAGGCCCUCCCCCAUUUGAGCUGUGAAACUAAGACAAAGAGGAGUUGAUAAGUGGAAAUUCCUCAGGGUAUACUUAGGAGGGGGUUUCAACAUUUGUGACUUGAUAACGGUGGUCUGGAACGGAGAUGGGUUUUUAUGACAUCCGGGAAGUCACUACAUUGAGACACACACCUGCAGUGCUUUACUUUACGCACCCACACCCACAUGCACACUCACUCACGUGUAUGAGUGAGUGUGCAUGAGUGAGUGUAUGUGCGCAUACCUGUGUGUAUACACAGGUAUGCGCACAUAGUCACUCACGAACACUCACGUAGGUACGUGGGAGCGCGCACAUGUAGGCAUUCACGUGCUCGCACACACACAAACAUGUAAACAUGGUGAUUAGUUUUAUGGCACCUCGUAGAGGGGUUAGAAGGGGGGUCACUUAUACAAAACUGCAUGUAACGGACAAAGGAGUUGAGAUCUGCAGAGGAAGUCCGGGGUUCUGUACAUCUCCCUUCUAUAAGCUAUAAUCAAUAAGUGUGUAUUAAUAAAAUAUUGUUAAUUGACUACUCUGAGUCCCGGUGUUUUUUCUGGAAGCCUGACGAAUACACGAACUGUGGUGAAACUGCUUUUUGCAACACUUACCAUGACAUUUGCUGGCUUUAUAUCCUGGUGAAUGAUUCUCUGUGCAUGGAUGUACUCUACUGCCAUGGAUAAGUCCAGUGAUAUGAAACCGGCAUCAUCCCCUUCAAGCUAUCAAGACAAUAUAUAAUGGGACCUAAGACCAACAAGUCAAUGUUUGGAAGUGUCCAUCAAAAAUCCCUGAUUGCAGUCCUCUUGUGAAACUGUAAGCAGAGGUGAAUGGUGUGUGUGAGCAAGGUGGCCAACAAAUCUGACUCAGUUACACCAGUCCUGUCUGGAGGACUGGACCAAAAUCCCUGAAAAAUAUUGUAAGAAUAUUGUAGAAGAAAACCUAAAAUGUCUGAACUCAUCCAUGUAAAA
ensembl:lncRNA